UACGUAGGGUGCGAGCGUUAAUCGGAAUUACUGGGCGUAAAGCGUGCGCAGGCGGUCUGUUAAGACCGAUGUGAAAUCCCCGGGCUUAACCUGGGAACUGCGUUUAAAACUGCUUAUCUAGAGUAAUGUAGAGGAUAGUGGAAUUUCCAGUGUAGCGGUGAAAUGCGUAGAUAUUGGAAGGAACACCAGUGGCGAAGGCGACUAUCUGGACAGAUACUGACACUGAGACACGAAAGCGUGGGGAGCAAACAGG
rnacentral:rRNA from 1 species